UAGGAGCCGUGCAGAAUGUUGGGAGAGUUCUGACUUCCAUUCCUCAUUGGUGGAAGGCAGCCCCGGGGACACUGUCUACCCUGCACCUUCUGGCAGAUGUGGCCUGCAAGGAGGCUGAGCAGGCUCCGGCAGCACCAGAAAGAGCCUCAGCCUUUGCCAGUCUUCAUGUCCCCUGGGGUCACGGUUGGAUAUAGUGGCUCCAAAGAGCCUUGGACCUUGGACACAAGCUUAUCUGUGCGUUGGUGCUUCUCUGGGAAGGAGGUCUAUUGCCUUCAACAAAAUCCUCAAAGGGAAACACAACCUUCCACAGCUUGUGGAUCUCUGCCCUGGGAGGUGUCAUGGUAACCAAAUAUUUUUAAGGUAAAGUUUGGAGUAGUUUUUUCCUCACUGAUACGGACAGGGGAAGAAUGCAAUUGCUAAACAUACAAACCAGAGACCAUUCGCACCUUGUGUUCUGAGUAGUAACUCUGCCAAGACCCC
rnacentral:lncRNA from 1 species